GUGCUUGCUUCAGCAGCACAUAUACUGAAACUAGAAUGAUCUAGAGAGGAUUAGCAUGGCCUCUGAGCAAAGAUGACACUCAAAUUUGUAAAGUGUUCCAUAUUUUU